AGGAGGGCUUUUAACCAUCUGUUCUGUCUGUAGACCUCUUACACAUUCAUGUGCCUGUGCUCCACCAGCAGCAACCACCACCAAAGCCAGGGAUGGAGGUCGUUCAGAACAUCUACCAGUAGUUUCAUGUGUGUCAUGGCAUCUUUCCCUGAGAGGUGACUGCAGAGUGUUUGGCCACCUGGUGGUUGACAGACAUGGGACUCCACAAACAACAGCUAGAGCCUGAAAAUUCAGCUUCUGUCACCUCUUCAGCCAGCAAACAUCUGAGGAUCUGUGGAAAGGACCAUUUCCUUACUCCUGGAAGAACCUCCCUAAGAUCUACUUGGCAAGACAACGCCUCUGGCAUGGUCAUGGGCCUCUAUGGGAUUUUUCUAGUGGGAUUGAGUCUCGCUGCCUUCCCCUCGGUGUGAGCCUCUGUGCUCCAGGAAUGAGCAGGAAUAUCACGGCCUAAGCCCAAAUGCCUCCCUGGAGGGAAGAGACAGAUGAUAUCAUUGUUGGAGUUGUUUGGAGAUCAUAAAGAUGUCAACUUUGCCAAGUCUGAUCCACGUCAAAUGCUUUGAUUUAGAAGCAGCACACCCAGAGUGAAAGGCUGAUUCCUGGGAGAUGUUGUCCCCACCGUACGCAGCUCCUCCUGGACUGUCUCCCCUGCCGUCCCAGCACACAACUGUUAGAUGAACAAAAUACAUCAGCCUGAAGACAUGCUAAUCACCAGAUAAUGUUUUCAGAGUGGAGAGGAAACGAAGUGGAAGUCUGCAACCGAGUGUGGACUUCAAGACUUCUCUACAUCACAGGAUCACAGAAUGGUAGGAGUUGGAAGGGACCUCUGGAGAUCAUCUAGUCCAACUUCCCCCCCUGCUAAAGU